rnacentral:rRNA from 1 species
AUUGAACGCUGGCGGCAGGCCUAACACAUGCAAGUCGAGCGGAUGAAAGGAGCUUGCUCCUGGAUUCAGCGGCGGACGGGUGAGUAAUGCCUAGGAGUCUGCCUGGUAGUGGGGGACAACGUUUCGAAAGGAACGCUAAUACCGCAUACGUCCUACGGGAGAAAGCAGGGGACCUUCGGGCCUUGCGCUAUCAGAUGAGCCUAGGUCGGAUUAGCUAGUUGGUGAGGUAAUGGCUCACCAAGGCGACGAUCCGUAACUGGUCUGAGAGGAUGAUCAGUCACACUGGAACUGAGACACGGUCCAGACUCCUACGGGAGGCAGCAGUGGGGAAUAUUGGACAAUGGGCGAAAGCCUGAUCCAGCCAUGCCGCGUGUGUGAAGAAGGUCUUCGGAUUGUAAAGCACUUUAAGUUGGGAGGAAGGGUUGUAGAUUAAUACUCUGCAAUUUUGACGUUACCGACAGAAUAAGCACCGGCUAACUCUGUGCCAGCAGCCGCGGUAAUACAGAGGGUGCAAGCGUUAAUCGGAAUUACUGGGCGUAAAGCGCGCGUAGGUGGUUUGUUAAGUUGGAUGUGAAAUCCCCGGGCUCAACCUGGGAACUGCAUCCAAAACUGGCAAGCUAGAGUAUGGUAGAGGGUGGUGGAAUUUCCUGUGUAGCGGUGAAAUGCGUAGAUAUAGGAAGGAACACCAGUGGCGAAGGCGACCACCUGGACUGAUACUGACACUGAGGUGCGAAAGCGUGGGGAGCAAACAGG